CCAAUCUCUUCAAAUGUUCUAUGCAUUUGUUGCUGGAGGUUGUUCCAUAAACAAGUGUAGGGAUCUAUAUCUUUCUUGGCGUUGAUCCAUGGAAGCUAUGAAAUUCUGGCUGUUCUAAGUUUAACUGGAUUUGCAGUAUCAUGUGAUGUUUUCUUUACUGACUCGUGUGUUUGUGAGUUUUGUACUCCAAAUGGAAUGGGAAGAAUAUGUAUCUGCACUCUGUUAAAGGAUUAAUAAACUUUUAGACUUGCCACUGUAGUUUAAAUAUAAUUUUGAAUCUGAGAUAGGUG
rnacentral:lncRNA from 1 species